rnacentral:rRNA from 1 species
UACGAAGGGAGCUAGCGUUGUUCGGAAUCACUGGGCGUAAAGCGCACGUAGGCGGAUUUGUCAGUCAGGGGUGAAAUCCCGGAGCUCAACUUCGGAACUGCCUUUGAUACAGCACAUCUGGAGUCCGGAAGAGGUGGGUGGAAUUCCUAGUGUAGAGGUGAAAUUCGUAGAUAUUAGGAAGAACACCGGUGGCGAAGGCGGCCCACUGGUCCGGUACUGACGCUGAGGUGCGAAAGCGUGGGGAGCAAACAGG